rnacentral:rRNA from 1 species
GAUGAACGCUGGCGGCGUGCACAACACAUUCAAGUCGAACGGAGCUUUUGGAAUUAAUCCUUCGGGAAGCGUUUUGAAGGCUUAGUGGCGGACGGGUGAGUAACGCGUGAGCAACCUGCCUCUGCAUGGGGGAUAACGUUUGGAAACGGACGCUAAUACCUCAUAACACAAGGAUAUCGCAUGAUGACCUUGUCAAAGAUUUAUUGUGCAGAGAUGGGCUCGCGUCUGAUUAGGUAGUUGGUGAGGUAACGGCCCACCAAGCCGACGAUCAGUAGCCGGACUGAGAGGUUGAACGGCCACAUUGGAACUGAGAUACGGUCCAG